GAGACAUUUAUAAUAUUUUACAAACAUUCUUAUAUUCUGAAUAAAUAUUUCUAAUUCCAUAAUAUGCUUUUACCUGUAUUCAUUGAAGGGUAUGACUCUCCUUCUGCAAUACUAACAUUUAAUGUCAAACAUCACAGGUUCGGUAGUUACAUCGAGAGCCCUCAUCAAAGUGGGGAACUAGACAGACUGUAUUGGUCAAGACGGCCAAGAGCCAAAGAAAUCAUCACCAUCUGUCACUGAUUUCUAUGGGCCACCUUUCCAAAUUUGGAUUGAAUAGGGAUCUUAAAAAUUUUUUUUAAAACCUGCUAUCAUAUAUCUGAGGUCUUUAGCAGAGAAGAAUGGUAUUUCUUUGACCUCUGAGAUCCAAGGACUGGAAAGCAUUACAUUCAGAAAACCUGACUCUAAUACAAAUUUAAGAAAUGUUGGAUUUUAUGUAUUUAGCUCACAAUAUAACCUUGCUUUGAAAGUGAACAACCAAAACAUAAAUUGAGAUGGAGAAUACAUACCAGUUACUUUCAUUUUUUGCAGAGACAUUCUACCUUUUAAUAUUUCUUCCUAUCAUAUCAACAUCUCA
rnacentral:lncRNA from 1 species